rnacentral:rRNA from 1 species
GCAUAGCCUUGCGCUGGCGACGGUUCAUUCAAAUUUCUGCCCUAUCAACUUUCGAUGGUAAGGUAUUGGCCUACCAUGGUUUCAACGGGUAACGGGGAAUUAGGGUUCGAUUCCGGAGAGGGAGCCUGAGAAACGGCUACCACAUCCAAGGAAGGCAGCAGGCGCGCAAAUUACCCAAUCCCGACACGGGGAGGUAGUGACAAUAAAUACUGAUACAGGGCUCUUUUGGGUCUUGUAAUUGGAAUGAGUACAAUUCAAAUCUCUUAACGAGGAACAAUUGGAGGGCAAGUCUGGUGCCAGCAGCCGCGGUAAUUCCAGCUCCAAUAGCGUAUAUUAAAGUUGUUGCAGUUAAAAAGCUCGUAGUUGAAACUUGGGCCUGGCUGGCGGGUCCGCCUCACCGCGUGCACUCGUCCGGCCGGGCCUUCCUU